GUACCGCGGCUGCUGGCACGGAGUUAGCCGGGGCUUCUUCUGGUGUUACCGUCAUUAUCGUCGCACCUGAAAGAGCUUUACAACCCGAAGGCCUUCAUCACUCACGCGGCAUGGCUGGAUCAGGCUUUCGCCCAUUGUCCAAUAUUCCUCACUGCUGCCUCCCGUAGGAGUCUGGGCCGUGUCUCAGUCCCAGUGUGGCUGAUCAUCCUCUCAGACCAGCUACUGAUCGUAGCCUUGGUGAGCCGUUACCUCACCAACUAGCUAAUCAGACGCGGGCCGCUCCUUCAGCGAUAAAUCUUUGGUCCGAAGACAUUAUACGGUAUUAGCGUCAGUUUCCCGACGUUGUUCCGUACUGAAGGGCACGUUCCCACGCGUUACUCACCCGUGCGCCACUCUGUAUUGCUACAGCGUUCGACUUGCAUGUGUUAGGCCUGCCGCCAGCGUUCGUUCUGAGCCAGGAUCAAACUC
rnacentral:rRNA from 1 species